AACUUUUGACAACGGAUCACUUGGCUCUCGCAUCGAUGAAGAACGCAGCGAAAUGCGAUACGUAAUGAGAAUUGCAGAAUUCAGUGAAUCAUCGAAUCUUUGAACGCACCUUGCGCCCUUUGGCAUUCCGAGGGGCACACCCGUUUGAGUGUCGUGACAUUCUCAAAAACCUUCUUUGGUUUCUUGACCAGGAAGGCUUUUGGACUUUGGAGGCUUUUGCUGGCCUUCCUUUGUUGAAGCCAGCUCCUCUGAAAUGAAUUAGUGGGGUCUGCUUUGCCUAUCCUUGACGUGAUAAGAUGUUUUCUAUGUCUUGGGUUUUGCACUGUUCCUGCUUCUAACCGUCUCAUAGAAGACAAUGGUCAAGUGAUUGCCACUUGACCCACAAACCUUGACCUCAAAUCGGGUGAGACUACCCGCUGAACUUAAGCAUAUCAAUAAGCGGAGGCU
rnacentral:misc_RNA from 1 species